AUGGCAGCCCCGGCUCUGAUCAUUGCCGUGGCUCUAGCACUGUACCUGGUGCUACCUUUGAUGACCUUUGCUUUGCCCAUUAUUAUCGCAGGCUUUGGUAUUUUACUAAGCUUCAUCUUCGGCUUCUUCAAAUCCAAGAUCGCGUCAAUUGGGGCUCAUCUAUCAGCUGUGCAGGCUAGGGUUGGGUUUCCAAAACUGGCGCGCAUCUUAUUGUUUCAGCGCAGUGCUAUAAAACCACUGUGGGUGUUUCCUUCAGCUUCAACCAGGCUGUUUUGGGUAGUAGCAGCUGCCUUCUUUGUGUGUUUCAUACCAUCCUCAGUUGUCCAAGUUUUUCAACAAAACAGCAGUGUCUAA
rnacentral:rRNA from 1 species